AGAAUCAACGCUGGCGGCGUGCCUAACACAUGCAAGUCGAACGAGAAUGUGGAGCAAUCCACAAGUAAAGUGGCGCACGGGUGAGUAACACGUGACUAACCUACCCUUGAGUGGGGGAUAACCUAGAGAAAUCUGGGCUAAUACCGCAUAAUACCUUCGGGUCAAAGGAGCAAUUCGCUUAAGGAGGGGGUCGCGGCCGAUUAGUUAGUUGGCGGGGUAAUGGCCCACCAAGACUAUGAUCGGUA
rnacentral:rRNA from 1 species